GGUUUUAUUUGUGUUGUGAUCUAGUUAUGUUUGUUCCUAUGCUGGUUUUAGUGUGUGUUUUUCCAGGUAUUGAGUGGCUUAAGGGAGGAACCUCUGAAGAUUUGCUUUGUUUGACUCUUGCAUGUCCUUUUCUGCGACUUUGCAUACUUGGCUAAAGAAAGCUCUGCUGUCGUGCAUUUGAGGAGGAUGCAUCCCUAGGGAUUAAAGUGUUUGGCCAAGAGAGUGCCACCGCCUUGUUUAAAAGAGAGUGAGAUGCUGGAUAAGUUUUUGCUGCUUCUCUACUUAUUCCCUCUGAAUGUGCGGGUCUGUGCUUGAACAGUUCUUAGGCCUCAAUUAGAAAUGGCAACAGCGCAAGUUAGAGGCAGGAAUCGCUCCUCCCGUCCCUUGCCCCACAUAAGUUCAAGGUCGGAGCGAGGCAUUCCCCGCCGAAAUGCAGGGCUAGGCAGAUGGUCUUGGCCGAGCGAGACUGGAAGCGCUACGCUGGUUGCUAUGUCUCAGGUCCUCAACUGCGGGUGUUUUAACAGAUUGGGUAACCCUAGGGUUUUGGGGUUAGGCAGGGGAGCAUGGAGUUGGGUUUCUUGUGUUUUAGGCUUGUAUUUAUCACUAGAAAUUUUUUUUAAAGUUAUGGGGCUUUUUUUAAUCCUGUAAUCUCACCCCUUUAAGGCCAUCAAUGAAAAUUUUAUCUCAG
rnacentral:misc_RNA from 1 species